rnacentral:lncRNA from 1 species
CUAAUUUCAAUAAAACAGUACUUAUAUGUUAUUACAACGAUUGCAAAUACUAAAACUUGCGAGGAUUCUAAAUAAAAAUUCCCACUAAUAGAUUGGGGAAAUCGUGAAUUAAUCAAGUUAGAAAUCCCUAGUCCAGCCGGGUUUCUUCUUCUCACGUUUAGACUGGGUUCUCAUCGUCGAGCCGGACUGGCUGCAGUUUAACUACUCUGGUUCUUCCCCAAAUUCAGAGCUUAGGUCACCGGCGGCCUGUUCAAUCUUGACGACGUCUUCACGGAGGGAUUCAUAGCCGACGUGCUCAGGUGGUCGUUCCGACGUAUUCAGGAUCGUAUCAUGGAACAAUUAAAUCAAAUGAUCUCAAUAUCAUUCAAAGAGUUGAAUCUAACAACUAACAAGGUUCAUUAGGCAAAACAUUCUAAAAUUAUCUUUAAUUUUCCAAAAAAUUCUAAAGUCAUCUUUAAUUUAUUAGAUUAAUAUAUAGUGUUGUAGAUAAGCAAUAAUUAUAUAUAGUCAUCUUUAAUUCUUUAAUUUUUUCACAAUUUAUAUAUU